UGAGUGUGUGAAGAAUGUGUCUGGUGUGUGUAACGUGUGUGCUUGGUGUGCGUAUAGAACAUGUGUAUGUUUGGUGUGUGUGUAUAAGAGAGAGAGAGAG